rnacentral:rRNA from 1 species
UACAGAGGGUGCAAGCGUUAAUCGGAAUUACUGGGCGUAAAGCGCGCGUAGGUGGUUGUGUAAGUUGGAUGUGAAAGCCCCGGGCUUAACCUGGGAAUGGCAUUCAAAACUGCACGGCUAGAGUACGGGAGAGGGGGGUAGAAUUCCAGGUGUAGCGGUGAAAUGCGUAGAGAUCGGGAAGAACAUCGGUGGCGAAAGCGCUCUACUGGACGGUGACUGACACUCAGGGACGAAAGCUAGGGGAGCGAAUGGG